rnacentral:rRNA from 1 species
GACGAACGCUGGCGGCGUGCUUAACACAUGCAAGUCGAACGAAGUGGCGAACGGGUGAGUAACGCGUAAUCAACCUGCCCUUCAGAGGGGGACAACAGUUGGAAAAGACUGCUAAUACAGCAUACUGAAGGAAGUGGUUGCGUCUGAUUAGCUAGUUGGAGGGGUAACGGCCCACCAAGGCGAUGAUCAGUAGCCGGUCUGAGAGGAGGAACGGCCACAUUGGGACUGAUACACGGCCCAGACUCCUACGGGAGGCAGCAGUGGGGAAUCUUCCGCAAUGGACGAAAGUCUGACGGAGCAACGCCGCGUGAGUGAUGACGGCCUUCGGGUUGUAAAGCUCUGUUAAUCGGGACGCGGUACCGGAAUAGAAAGCCACGGCUAACUACGUGCCAGCCGCCGCGGUAAUUC